rnacentral:rRNA from 1 species
GACGAACGCUGGCGGCGUGCUUAACACAUGCCAGUCGAACGGAAAGGCCCUGCUUUUGUGGGGUGCUCGAGUGGCGAACGGGUGAGUAACACGUGAGUAACCUGCCCUUGACUUUGGGAUAACUUCAGGAAACUGGGGCUAAUACCGGAUAGGAGCUCCUGCUGCAUGGUGGGGGUUGGAAAGUUUCGGCGGUUGGGGAUGGACUCGCGGCUUAUCAGCUUGUUGGUGGGGUAGUGGCUUACCAAGGCUUUGACGGGUAGCCGGCCUGAGAGGGUGACCGGCCACAUUAGGACUGAGAUACGGCCCAGACUCCUACGGGAGGCAGCAGUGGGGAAUAUUGCACAAUGAGCGGAAGCCUGAUGCAGCAACGCCGCGUGCGGGAUGACGGCCUUCGGGUUGUAAACCGCUUUCGCCUGUGACGAAGCGUGAGUGACGGUAAUGGGUAAAGAAGCACCGGCUAACUACGUG